UCCUUUACCAACCACGUUUCUUGGUUCUUUCCCCGCAACUAAUUUUCCUGACUACACUAGGAGGUGGAGGAUCUCUAUAGCUGGUUGAUUUAAUCCUCAUAUAUUUUACUAAGUCACUUAAGUCGUGUCUGACUCUGUGCGACCCUAUGGACUGUAACCUGCCAAGUUCCUCUGUUCAUGGGAUUCUCCAGACAAGAAUACUAGAGUGGAUUGCCGUUUCCUUCUCCAUAUCUUUUACAGAAGCAUGUAAAUCAGGUGUUUGAUCUGUCAGCAGACUGUAUGGACAGUCUUCUAUGCCUCGUGCAUCGAGCAAAGUGCUUCGGGAGGCACAAAGAUGAAUAAGACGUGACCCUUGUUCCCCAGGAUCCUGCCAAGUGGAUGAAGAGAAAGGACAUAUACAUAACAAGAUAACUGAUGACCCAACUCAGCCCGUUGCUGAUUUUAAGUUUCUAAUGAAAAAGGCAGAAGAACCAGAGAUCAAAUUGCCAACAUCCUUUGGAUCAUAGAAAAAGCAAGAGAAUUCCAGAAAAACAUCUACUUCUGCUUUGUUGACUAUGCUUGAGCCUUUGACUGUGUGGAUCAAAACAAACUGUGGAACAUUCUUAAAGAGAUGGGAAUACCAGACGACCUUACUGCCUCCUGAGAAAUCUGCAUGCAGGUCAAGAAGCAACAGUUAGAACUGGACAUGGAACAACAGACUGGUUCCAAAUUGGGAAAGGGGUAUGUCAAGGCUGCUUGUUUAUUUUACUUACAUGCAGAGUGCAUCAUGAGAAAGGCUGGGCUGGAUGAAGCACAAGCGGGAAUCAAGAUUGCCAGGAGAAAUAUCAGUAACCUCAGAUAUGCAGAUGAUACUACCCUUAUGGCAGAAAGCAAAGAAGAACUAAAGAGCCUCUUGAUGAAAGUGAAAGAGGAGAGUGAAAAAGUUGGGUUAAAACUCAACAUUCAGAAAACUAAGAUCAUGGCAUCCGGUCCCAUCACUUCAUGGCAAAUAGAUGGGGAAACAAUGGAAACAGUGAGAGACUAUUUUCUUGGGCUCCAAAAUCACUGCAGAUGGUGACUGCAGCCAUGAAAUUAAAAGACACUUGCUCCUUGAAUGAAAAGCUAUGACUAACCUAGGCAGCAUACUAAAACACAGAGACAUUACUUUGCCAGCAAAGGUCCAUCUAGUCAAAGCUUUGGUUUUUCCAGUAGUCAUGUAUGGAUGUGAGAGUUGAACUAUAAAGAAAACUGAGUGCUGAAGAAUUGAUGCUUUUGAACUGUGGUGUUGGAUAAGACUCUUGAGAGUCCCUUAGACUGCAAGAAGAUCAAACUGGUCAGUCCUAAAGGAAAUCAGUCCUGAAUAUUCAUCGGAAGGACUGAUGCUGAAGCUGAAACUCCAAUUCUUUGGCCACCUGAUGUGAAGAACUGACUCAUUGGAAAAGGCCCUGAUGCUGGGAAAGAUUGAAGGCGGGGGAGAAGGGGACAACAGGGGAUAAGAUGGUUGGAUGGCAUCACCAACUUGAUGGACAUGAGUUUAAGCAAGCUCCAGGAGUUGGUGAUGGACAGGGAAGCCUGGUGUGCUGCAAUCCACGGGGUGGCAAAGAGUCAGACAUGACUGAGUGACUGAACUGAAUGAAAGAUUAUAUCUUCUUUAAAAACUUUAUUUAUUUGUGCCAAGUCUUAGUUGCAGCAUGUGGGAUCUAGUUUCCUGGUAAGGGAUAGAACUUGGACCCCCUGUAUUGGGAGUGUGGUGUCUUAGUCACUGGACCAGGGAAGUCCUGAGAUUACAUCCUAUUUAACUGAAUUCUACCAGUGUAAUAACCACAGUAACAACAACAAACAUUUAGUGCCUGCUUGCUAUAUGUUUGAGCUCAUCUAAUCUCCAGCCAGACUUUAUCCCCAUUUUACAGAUGAGGAAACUGAGGCAUAGAGAAAUUCAGUCUUGCCCAAACCUACAUAAUUGGCAAGUGGCUGAGUCAGGAUUUGAACCCACUAAAGAAUCUGUGUUCCCAUUCUCUCUUCUAUUGUCAUCUUACAAUCUUGGUACCAACAAAAUGUAUUCAAGCCAAUCCCUAUUGGCAUAACCAAAGUGUCACUGGGCAGAAGAACAAAAGUGAAGAAGAAGAAACAGCAAUACAGAAAGGGAAAGGUGGCAUGGAAUUGUCAUCAAGUGCUCCAAGUGGCUCCAGGGGUCCAGCGCUGAGCAUCCUUUGCAGUCUGCUAGAUGGAAUACAGAGUGUAUGGGAGUUCAGCAAUUAGUAGAGUAUUUGGUCUGAGUGCCUGAUACAAUUUUCCUCCCAAAUCCCAAUUUUCUAUCUGCCAAGAUAGGUGAUGGAGGUUUAUGGUUCAUGUUCGAGCACAUCUGCCUAGGCCAGGGACCUACAACUCUGAAUUUCUGGCCUGCUCCCUUCCAGCUAAAAGUGAAUCUAGAUUUACUUCCCAUCAGCAACAAGCACCAUCUCUAUGCCCUGUGAGAUCCUAGUUUUGGAAGAUUCGGCUUUUAUCCUAGGGAUAUCAAUCUAUGUGUAGAAGUCCUUAUUCUGUGGAAGAAGAGAGACUGAAACAAAAAAUAAGUGGAAACUUCUUAUCCAGGCAGAUGACAAAUAAAGUUUCAGUGUUUUUUAUAUUAAACCACCUUUUAUACCUCUGUUCUUUUAUGAAUAUAAGAGCAUGGAUGGGCUAAAAGUAAAAAAUACAGACUAAGUUCCUGUCUUGGUACAUUCAGGCUGCUCUAGCAAAAUGCCAUAGACCAGGUAGUUCGUAAACAGCAUUUAUUUCUCACAUGUCUGGAGACUAGGAUCAUCACCCCAGAUCAUGGUGCCAGCAUGGCUGAUAUGGGUCUUAAUUUUGCAUAAGUUGGGUCCUUCUCACCAUGUGGUGGAAGGGGGAGGGAUCUCUCUGAAUCCCCCUCCUUUUAAGGCGCUUAUCCCAUUCAUGAAGGGUGCACCUUCAUGUCUUAAGAACCUCUCAAAAGUACCACCUCCUUGGCCACUAGAAGGAUAAAAGGGUAGAUCAGCUUAUAAAAAUACUUGUUAAGACCCUAGAAAGUCUUAACUGGAAUGAUGGAACUCUGCCAAACCACAGAGAAAAUUCAUUCUGAAAAUACCAACAGGUUGUGUAGUCAAGUCAAUCAAAAAUUGGCUCUAUCAGAGGCAAUAUGCUCUAACAUGGACUGCUGGUCCUACUGAAUAUUUUUGUUCCCUUGACCCCUGCCACUCAUCCCCAUAACCAUUCUUCACCUAUCAGUUCAGUUCAGUUCAGUUUCUCAGUCGUGUCCGACUCUUUGUGACCCCAUGGAAUGUAGCCCACCAGACUCCUCCUCUGUCCAUGGAAUUCUCCAGGCAAGAAUACUGGAGUGAGUAGCCAUUCUCUUCUCCAGGAGAUCUUCCUGACCCAGGAAUUGAACCCAGGUCUCCCGCAUUGCGGGCAGAUUCUUUACCAUCUGAGCCACUAGGAAAGCCCAGAUUGUAUGACCUCUUGCUGAAAUACCUCCAAGUCUUCCUAAUCACUUAGAAUAAUAGCCAAACAUCUUACUAUGUCCUUAGAAGAUUCUAGAUCACUUGUCCCUGCCUACCUCUUCCGACCUCAUCUCCCUCCACUAACAUUCCAUUCAUCUCCUUGCUCUCUUUUCUACAGUGCCCUCAACCCACCUGUUAAUACAUUCCCCACAACCCCUUAUUCUAGAAUGUAAGCACCAUAAGGGCAGAGAUGUUAUCUAC